rnacentral:rRNA from 1 species
CCUACGGGAGGCAGCAGUGGGGAAUAUUGCACAAUGGGGGAAACCCUGAUGCAGCGACGCCGCGUGAGUGAAGAAGUAUUUCUGUAUGUUAAGCUCCAUCUGCAGGGAAGAAACCCACCCUCCGCGGUGGCUGACGAUACCUGACUAAGAAGCCCCGUCUACCUACUUCCCAGCAGCCGCGGCAAUACGUAGGGGGCAAGCGUUAUUCGGAUGUACUGGGUGUAAAGGGAGGGUCGGUGGCAAGGCAAGUCAGAUGUGAAAACCCGGGGCCCAACCCCGGGAGUGCAUUUGAAACUGUCUGGCUAGAGUGCAGGAGAGGUAAGUGGAAUUCGUAGUGUAGCGGUGAAAUGCAUAGAUAUCAGGAAGAACACCAGUGGCGAAGGCAGCUUACUGGACUGUAACUGACACUGAGGCUCGAAAGCGUGGGGAGCAAACAGGAUUAGAUACCCUUGUAGUC